GGCUCGUUGGUCAAGAGGUUAAGACACCGCCCUUUCACGGCGGUAACAGGGGUUCAAUCAUUUGUGGGAUC
rnacentral:tRNA from 1 species